rnacentral:lncRNA from 1 species
AUGAACACUCGAGAGUUGCCGAAUUUCCCUAGAUUAAUCAUGUAUUUUUGCGAACUUAAUGCAUAUUUUUCCUUGAAAUUUCCAGAUAUUUUAGAUUAAAUUGCAUAAAAAAAAUGUGUAAAAAUUUUAAACCCAUUUCCUAAAAAUAGUGAAUUUUCCCAGGAAUUUCGAUUUCUAUAAAGGAAAUGUAGCAAUGUCUGGAGACUCAUGCGGCGUUCCUUAGCACGGCAGUAUUAGAAGUGAUUACCUCGUAAUUUUAACUCUAAAUGUUCAGCACCUCUCGAAAAGUAAAAAUGAGUAUUUGACACGUCUACUUCACUUUUUUUAACUUUUUAUACUUUCCACACUGAGGUUUAAAAUUGGUCAAGAAUUCUAGACACAGUUUUCCAUUUUCCUUUUUCUGCAAGUGCUAUGCCGGUACCGCUUGACCAUUGUUUUUGGGGACACCGUAUGGCGACAAAAGCUGAGACGUAGAAUGUAAAUGGGACCUGCGAAAACAUUUGUUGAGCUGGCGCAGAAAUCAAUUUCUAAAAAUGCAUAUUCUGAGGGCUCUUUUUUGGUAAUGGUUACGGUAAACCUCCGUGAUAAAUGUGUCUCCGGAUCUGCCUACAAUGAGUCUGCGAUUUGGAGUACAUUCCUGCAGUAUGCAUCAGUUGUUGAAGAGCUACCAUCAACAGGAAAAACAUGGAAAUUACCGCAAGAAUCAAAUUGGUCUCGCACUUCCGCUAGAUUAUCAAGGACGUCAAUGGUACCACACACAACUUCAACACUAUACACAACUCCAACACCAUACACAACUCCAACACCAUACACAACUCCACCACCAUACAUAACGUCAACAUCAUACACAACUUCAACACCAUACACAACCACAACUUCGAAACCAUACACAACUUCAGCACCAUACACAACCACAACUUCGAAACCAUACACAACUUCAGCACCAUACACAACCACAACUUCGAAACCAUACACAACUUCAGUACCAUACACAAACACAACUUCAAUACCAUACACAACAACAACUUCAAAACCAUACACAACUUCAACACCCCCCACACCAACAACACCCCCCACAUCAACAAAACCCCCCACACCAACACCCCACCCCAGACCAACAACAAUGACACCAACUCCAUUUACAACACCAGCUCCACAACCUUUUACGUUGCCACCUUAUCAAAACACAGCAAAAAUGGCCCGUUUUGUUGUUCAUUUCUCAAAUUGGGGAUCUUUGUCCUAUCAAGCUGAGCAAACCGAGAUUUCCGGCUACCCAUCUGUGCGAGUCUACUCCAUUAGUGAUGGAUACGUCUAUGAAGGUACCGGAGUGCCUUAUUUUAUGGUCUCCCCGCUUGAUCUGACCAUCCAGGCUCUGGACACAGACGAGCGUUGUUCGCUGAUUGUCUCUUAUCUCAGACCUCUUACUGCGAUUCUCAGCAGUGGGAUCCUGAAGAUCCUCGCUGUGUCCAAGUUAUUCUGA